rnacentral:rRNA from 1 species
AUUGAACGCUGGCGGCAUGCCUUACACAUGCAAGUCGAACGGCAGCACGGGAGCAAUCCUGGUGGCGAGUGGCGAACGGGUGAGUAAAGUAUCGGAACGUGCCCAGUCGUGGGGGAUAACGUAGCGAAAGUUACGCUAAUACCGCAUACGAUCUAUGGAUGAAAGCGGGGGAUCGCAAGACCUCGCGCGAUUGGCGCGGCCGAUAUCAGAUUAGGCAAUUGGUGGGGUAAAGGCUCACCAAGCCGACGAUCUGUAGCUGGUCUGAGAGGACGACCAGCCACACUGGGACUGAGACACGGCCCAGACUCCUACGGGAGGCAGCAGUGGGGAAUUUUGGACAAUGGGCGAAAGCCUGAUCCAGCCAUGCCGCGUGCAGGAUGAAGGCCUUCGGGUUGUAAACUGCUUUUGUACGGAACGAAAAGGUUUGGCCUAAUAAGCUGAGCUCAUGACGGUACCGUAAGAAUAAGCACCGGCUAACUACGUGCCAGCAGCCGCCGUAA